rnacentral:tRNA from 1 species
GCCUGGUAUUGUUGCUGUUAAUUGUUGCAGUUUAUUGUGAGUUUUGCGCAAGCGGGACUUAAAAUCCCUCGGAGAUACAUCUCCUUGCCGGUUCGAUUCCGGCCCCGGGCACCA